rnacentral:lncRNA from 1 species
UAGAGCAAGCAUCUCUUUCGUUAAAAUGAGAUUUAAAAAGGUCUCAUUAUAUGUCGUCGUGGUCUUAAUUCUCAACUUGCCCAAAACAUUAAGCCUCAUUCCUUGGAAAAAUAUGGAAUACCAGUCAAUUUGCAAGAAGGUUGUACAGAAAAAGGAACAUCAAAACCAGAAGUAUAACGAGACAUACUGGCAGCCUUUAGAGGAAGUCUACAAAA